UGCCGGGUCGUCUAGCGGUAGGACGUCUGCCUCUGGAGCAGAAAAUCGAAGGUUCGAAUCCUUCCCCGGCAG
rnacentral:tRNA from 1 species